rnacentral:rRNA from 1 species
UACGUAGGUGGCAAGCGUUGUCCGGAAUUAUUGAGCGUAAAGCGCGCGCAGGCGGUCCUUUAAGUCUGAUGUGAAAGCCCACGGCUCAACCGUGGAGGGUCAUUGGAAACUGGGGGACUUGAGUACAGAAGAGAAGAGUGGAAUUCCACGUGUAGCGGUGAAAUGCGUAGAGAUGUGGAGGAACACCAGUGGCGAAGGCGACUCUUUGGUCUGUAACUGACGCUGAGGCGCGAAAGCGUGGGGAGCAAACAGG